GGAAGAUUCAGAGAGCGGAGUGGAAGCCCAGCUGUCAUGGCCAGGCCACAGUCCUGCAUCUGACAGGGCUGUGGACGAAAGCCGAGUCUGUCCUGGAGCAGCUGGGCCUGGGCAGGUCUGAGCCCGUGUGAGGAACAUUCCUGCAGAUGCACAGCAUGCAGAGGGCAGGCGGGGCUGACGCACACACUUCUCCCCAGUGAAUUCUGGAGGCUGGAGUCAACCUAUAGAAAGUCUUCCAUGAGGCCGAAAUUGGAGUGUGUGAUGGGGGUGGCUCCUGGGUCUCAUGGAGUUCCUCAGAGAGCUUCUGCCUGAGUUAUCUAUUGGUAUUCUGCAGCAGCUGCCUCACAGAGCCUGGAGAGCUCCAGCAAGG
rnacentral:lncRNA from 1 species